UGAUUAAAGCGGUUAGAAUACCGUUAAUGACCUUAAUAUAAUCCGACGGUCAAACUGUAGCUAAAGGCUAACUGGUCGCGAAGCUACGUAGCCUAACCGACCCCAGAGUAAGGCUCAGUUUAGUUAAAUAGCCUUAGAUACCAGGAUUAUCUCUGAUUGGACCCCAAUACUCUCAAAUGGAAGAUUGGUGGGGUACCUACCGCUGGGCCGUGGUGAGGUUAGGGAGUCGAUGUGGAUGGGGUAGGUUCAAGUAGACUAGGUCAGACGACUUAGCCCCACCUUUUGGGGGUUCCAAGGGUAAGAAGGGGAUAGCACUCCCUCAUUGGCCAGGUAAAGACAUGUCGUCAUAGGUUAGGUUAGAGGUAAAACUGGUUCGGUACUUAUCGGCUUACGUGCAAGAUGGGCGCCAUGUCUACUACCAGCAAUAUUUGGUAGACAUUGUAAAAACAAGCGAGAAAGGUGUAAACAACAUCACAUUAAUGUUGGUAAAUAUUCGGUCGGUGACUGGCCGGUUUUAACCUUCGUUCAUAUUGGAGGAGUCACGACUUGGGCUAAUUUUAGGGUUCUAAGUUUUAGGCUUUUAUAGGGGUGAGAUUAGGUAACUGCAUGGCAUCCUAGGUUGGGUUAAGGUAGGACUGGCUAGGCCAUACUCCAUCUGGAAUGCCUGCUACUACAGUUUAGGGGUAACCUUGGCCAUACUGAGUGAGAUUAUAUAAGUGCAAGCUUGGUUGCCGUCGAUUCAUUCCCGCGAAUUGCUGACCAAGAUAUUUACAGUAAACCCCCGUAUUCGCGGGGGAUGCUUCCGAGAGAGAGAGCGUGACAGAUUUAUGCUAAUGGAUGUAUUUGGUUUUAAGGUAUCCAGAUGGCAAGAGAGAGAAAGUGGUCCUGGAGAGUCACCCACAAUGCAACGGAUGAGCAUGGCUGUCUUAAUUCAUGAUGGACGAAACUGACAAACUAAGGAGAUGUAUGUGCCACCAUGGAAAGAUCCUAGCAGGUGUGUCUACGGGCGUUACGAACAACUGAUGACGUCACAUCCACGGCAACGAAGCUUCAAGUUUAGAAUGUCUUAUGACAGUACCAUCGUGUGGCCACUUAACUCCAUAUUGGAAAUUGUGUGCAGAGUGCAAUUCCACAAAUAUCUAUGAACAAAGAACUGGAGUUCAUACUUAUAUUCAACAAGUGGAAUGCAGUGGUUAAUCACUUGUGUCAACAGUUGCCUAUGGCCAGAUGAAAUGGCCCCACCAAACAAAUCUUUGGAAGGGUCAUACUUUGACUUGGAGAGAUUGCAAACAUUAAUUCUUUUGACUAUUGGAACUAUGUCAGUGUUAAGUUGACAGUAGUCAUGUAUAAGUGUUAGUUUAUCAAGGUAUACCAGUGCCUAUCUACCCAAAGUCGAGUCUAGUUCAGCUUUGCGGCUUGUAAUUAAGUAGGAACUAUAGGAAUCUUAAGAGGAGUCUAUAUCAUAUGAGGUCGUUCACUGGGAUUCAGGGGAGACUGGUUUUAUUACUGAAACUUGCUAUUGGUUCAAAGUAUCAGGAUAUAUUGUCCACUUUUAUUUAUACUCUGUUGAAUGUUGUUAUCAGGUAGCUCAGUAUUAUUCAGGAUGUACAGACUUAUUUUAUACCUAAAGCUCAUAUCAGCUUAAUUUAAAGUAAGAAGAAUUUACCUCAGAGUUUUUGUAAGUUUUUUAGGUAAAAUGCAGCUCAGUAUGUUUCAGGAUCCUUAGUUGUUGUGAUAAGACUUCUUAUCACUUUAAGACCAACUGUCAGUUAGUACAGGACUUUUCAGGAUAUACAUAGCUUAUUUUCCACUGAAAUUUCACUUGUUAGCUAGUAAGUAGGUCAGUGUUUCAGAAUAUACUGUAUAUUGAUAUCUCAUUUCCUUAUCAGUUAAUCAAUAGCUAUGUGGUACCUCAGUAUACUUCACACAGUCUUGGCAACUUAAGGUUCAUGAGUUUAUGUCAAAUACUUCAGUACAUUUCAGGAAAGUUUUAUUUCCAUUUCUUACCAGUUUUAAAUGACUAUAGGUUCAAUCAUUUUUAGGAUACGUACGUAGUUUUUUAGAAUAUAAAUUCCCUAUAUGUUUAAUAUCAGCUAUGAAGUAGUUCUGCGUUUCAGGAUACAUGGAUAAAUAGUUUUGCUUGAUCUGGAAUCUAGUGUCAGUCUGAAUAUCAGUCAAAAGUAGCUCAGUGUAUCUGGAUGCGUAGGUCAUUCAGUUUUCUUGUGGAGUAUUAGUUGUUGUCUGGCAACUUUAAGGAUACCUCCUUAUAUAUAUAUAUAUAUAUAUAUAUAUAUAUAUAUAUAUAUAUAUAUAUAUAUAUAUAUAUAUAUAUAUUAUAUAUAU